AUGAGAAAAUGGGGUGUCCAAAUCAUUUUUCCUUUUGUAAACAAACUGGGCCUAAACCCAAACUAAAAGGGGGUGUGGAAGUGAGAACAGGGGUGUCUAAACCAGGUUUAUUUCGAAUAACGGACUGGGCCCAAGCCCUAACGGAAAAGGGUGUGAAUGGGAAGUGGGAUUGCGAACGGGAGAUGGACGCGUGCAAAGGGAAGAUAGAGUUUUUUUUGUUUCAAAAAAAGGAUCUGGCCCAAGAACCGGGGCCCAAGGGUUUGGGUUAUUUCCCUCACUCAGGAGCAUUAGGGGUUUCCCACCUCCGCCCCAUUCGUGUUAAACGAGACCAAAGUCUCCUUUUCCCUCCACUUGAAUCCAAAGGGAGCUGAGCUCCUCCACGCACGCCCAAGCCUCCACCCGACCGGCAGCCGCGAGCCACGGUCCGUGACGACGUUCGUUGUUGGAGCCGUCGCCGAUCGAGGCGAAAGCUCACCUCUUCCGCUGCUCGUCGCGCGCGAGCUGGACACGCCCUCGCCGCCGCCAACGACGCCCAUUUCCAGCUCCAUCGCUCACUGCCGGGAUCAUCGCCGUCCACAACGUCAGACCCUCUUUUCCUUCUCUUCUUCCCGCAUUAGAGAAGUUCUCACGCUUCUCCGUCAAUCGCCGCUUGAGCGAUCCCGGUUGCCUCGAACCAGGGCACCGCCAGCGCCGCGAGUCACGACCAAGGUCGUCGCCGGUCACCGCCUUGACGUCCUCCACCGCCACGACCAAAUCCAUCUCUACCCCUAAAACCGUCACCAUCGCAGCCACUCCUGAAACUACCACCGCGCCUACCACCUCUAGGGGUCCCAUUGUUUAGUUACCAGAGAAUACAGUGCCGAGGCCAUGUUUGAGGGUUAACCCCUUCGUUGGCGGCUUGAGGUGAACAGAGGAAGGGGACUUAGUUCCGUUAUCAGACUGGGUUUGUCAUUGCUGUAAUGGAUUCGGGGUGGGUGUUUGGAUUAAUUCUUUUUCUUGCAGGAAAACGGCAUUGGAGAUUUCGGUAUUACAAGUCGGGUUGACGAUGAUAAUGGAGUUGUGUACGAGGAAUAUCAGUUUGCAGGUUUGGGUUCUGCAAAGAGAGCACUGGUCUCUAAUUGUUGAAGGUCGUGAGGCGUUGACAGAGAAUGGAGGAAUCAGCUGAAGCAAAUUUGGGUUUCUGUUUGUUGGGAUGAAUGAAUAACAAACAAUGUGCAGAAGCAAAUCAUGUAUACUCAAUAUAAUUGCAAGUUCAAUACGAGCAGACAAAGGCAGGCGUUAUCAAGUCAAAACAGAAGCAGAAACCCAAUUAAGAGUAGAUUGUAAUCAUCUAACAUUCAUAACUUUUGCGAGCGAUGAAGCGAAGGAGAACUUACCUUCUAUGUUUGCGUUUUUCUCUCUUAAUGGUGUGGGUUGAGGGAAUAGUGGGUUCCUGUGAUGUGCGUGAUGAGGAAAUAGAGAAGAGGGUGAGAGGUGAAUGAUGGAUGUAAUGGAGGAGAAAGUGGGUUCAUCAGAAGUUCACAUAUAUGCUUCUCUGUGUUGAGGCCUUGGCAAUGGUUAUUGGAAUGCAAGAUGAAUUUGUUCAACGAAUGGCCAGGGGUUUUUCUUUCAGCUUCUUUGGGAAGACGGAGAUAUGAAGAGAAACUCAUCCGUUUUGUCUGUGCCCAGUGGUUCUUGAUGGUUCCCACAUGAAUAGUAUGUGAAGGGUGAGUACCAAUAUUGCUCCCAGGAUCAUUCUUUUUUUUGAUUGAUUUUUCUUUUUUUGUCUUUUUCCUUGCGUGAGGACUUCAGCCUCCCGACACUCCAUUGCUUCAUGCCACCCUAUUGCCAGCAUUUCUUCUUACUGCAACUGGCUAAAGCUAUUGCUUCUUGCUGCAGCAUAGGUCUGAGCCAAAGAUUUUCACCAAAAAAUGAUAGAUGCGCAAAGAUUUAAGACCAAAAAAAAAAAGAAAAAAGUUGAUAGCAUUGAAAACAGAAAUGAACGUUAAGUGCAAUCUGGUGAUCACUUUUUUUGUUUGUUUGUUUUCCUUUAAAAGAGACUAAAUAAAAUACAAUAAAAUAAACUAAUAUUAAAUAAAUUCAGAAUAAUAACAUAAAAUGAAAUAAAA